GCCCAUCCUCCAAGGCUAAAUACCAUAAGCGACCGAUAGUGGAGCAGUACCGAGAGGGAAAGGUGAAAAGCACCCCUGGCGGGGAGUGAAAGAGACCUGAAACCGGCGUGCCUACAAGCAAUCGGAGCGGCGCAAGCCGUGACGGUGUGCCUCUUGGAAAAUGAGCCGGCGAGUUUUUUUUCGUGGCGAGGUUAAGGACUAGGAGGUCCGAGCCGCAGGGAAACGAGUCCGAAGAGGGCGUAGAGUCGCGAGGAAAAGACCCGAAGCCCGACGAUCUAUCCAUGGCCAGGUUGAAGAUCGGGUAAAACCGAUUGGAGGACCGAACCGUGCCUGUUGAAAAAGUCUCGGAUGAGCUGUGGAUAGGAGUGAAAAGCUAAUCGAGUCGGGUGAUAGCUGGUUCUCCCCGAAAUGCAUUGAGGUGCAGCCUCAUGGGCAGAAGGUCACGGGGGUAGAGCACCGGAUGGGUGCGGGGGUCGCAGGACCUACCAAAUCCAACUGAACUCCGAAUACCGUAGACCGGAUCCAUGGGAGUGAGACUGCGGGUGAGAAGGUCCGUAGUCGAGAGGGAAACAACCCAGACCGACAGCUAAGGCCCCGAAUGGCAAGCUAAGUGUGACAAGGAUGUGGUGACGCCCAGACAGCCAGGAGGUUGGCUUAGAAGCAGCCAUCCUUGAAAGAGUGCGUAAUAGCUCACUGGUCGAGCGUUGCCGCGCCGAAAAUGUGGGGGGCUAAGCUUGCAGCCGAAGCUUCGGAUCGAGAUCGGAAGAUCUUGGUAGUAGGGGAGCGUUCCGUAUGGGGAGAAGUCGAGUCGUGAGGCUUGGUGGACCGUACGGAAGCGAGAAUGCCGGCAUGAGUAGCGCGAAACAUGUGAGAAUCAUGUUCACCGGAAGCCCAAGGAUUCCUGGGAAGGUUGAUCCGCCCAGGGUUAGGCGGGACCUAAGCCGAGGCCGAAAGGCGUAGGCGAUGGCCAGCAGGUAGACAUUCCUGCCCCGUUUGGUGGCCGUUAUUACCGAAGCGGUGACGCAGCAGGCCUUAGGUGUGCCGGGUGAGGAUGACGUCCGGUGCAAAGGCGUAGGGAGGAUUCUCGUAGGCAAAUCCGCGAGUCCAUAAUCCUGAGACCUGACGCGGAGCUUCCACGGAAGCGAAGACAUUGACGCCCCCACUGCCGAGAAAAAGCCGCUAGGGAGGACCAUCGAGCGCCCGUACUGUAAACCGACGCAGGUGGGCCUGGCUGAGCAGGCUAAGGUGAACGGGAAAACCCUCGUUAAGGAACUCUGCAAGUUAACCCCGUAACUUCGGGAGAAGGGGUGCCACCCUGGUGAAGAAAAGACUUUUUGGAGCUGAGGGUGGCCGCAGAAACCCAGGCCCAGGCGACUGUUUACUAAAAACACAGGUCCUCUGCAUAAGCCGUAAGGCGACGUAUAGGGACUGACGCCUGCCCGGUGCUGGAAGGUUAAGGGGAGAGGUCAGCGCAAGCGAAGCUUUGAACCGAAGCCCCAGUAAACGGCGGCCGUAACUAUAACGGUCCUAAGGUAGCGAAAUUCCUUGUCGGGUAAGUUCCGACCUGCACGAAAGGCGUAACGAUCUGGGCGCUGUCUCGACGAGGGACCCGGCGAAAUUGUGGUACUGGUAAAGACGCCAGUUACCCCGUGGUGGACGGAAAGACCCCGUGGGAGCUUUACUGUAGCCUGAUAUUGGAUUUCGGUAGAUCAUGCCACAGGAUAGGUGGGAGGCAUUGAAGCGAGGGACUUCGGUUUUCGUGGGAGCCCGACGUUGGGGAUUACCACCCUUGAUGGUGCUGGGAUUCUAACGGCUCCGCGUGAAUCCGCGCGCCCGGACAGUGUCAGGUGGGCAGUUUGACUGGGGCGGUCCGCCUCCCAAAGAGUAACGGAGGCGCGCGGAAAGGUUACCUCCCAGGGCGAAUGGAAAUCGCCCGUUGAGCGCAAGGGUAUAAGGUAGCCUGACUGUGAGAGAGACAUCUCGAGCAGGAAGCGAAAGCUGUCCCUAGUGAUCCGGCGGUGCUGUGGAAAGGCCGUCGCUCAUCGGAUAAAAGCUACCCCGGGGAUAAACAGGCUGAUCUCCCCCGAGAUUCCCAUCGACGGGGUUUGGCACUCGAUGUGCGGCUCGUCGCAUCCUGGGGGUGAAGCAGGCUCUCCCCAAGGUUCGGCCUAUCCCCCACUGGUGGAUAGGGAACGCGAACUGUCUCACGACGUUCUAAAACCCAGCUCACGUACCGCUUUAAUGGGCGAACAGACGCAACCCUUGGGACCUGCUUCAGCCCCAGGAUGCGACGAGCCGACAUCGAGGUGCCAAACCUCCCCGUCGAUGGGAACUCUCGGGGAGAUCAGCCUGUUAUCCCCGGGGGUAGCUUUUAUUCCGAUGAGCGACGCCUUUCCACACAGCACCGCCGGAUCACUAGGACCAAGCUUUCGCUCCUGCUCGA
rnacentral:rRNA from 1 species